rnacentral:rRNA from 1 species
AGUGAACGCUGGCGGUAGGCCUAACACAUGCAAGUCGAACGGCAGCACAGUAAGAGCUUGCUCUUACGGGUGGCGAGUGGCGGACGGGUGAGGAAUACAUCGGAAUCUACUUUUUCGUGGGGGAUAACGUAGGGAAACUUACGCUAAUACCGCAUACGACCUACGGGUGAAAGCAGGGGAUCUUCGGACCUUGCGCGAUUGAAUGAGCCGAUGUCGGAUUAGCUAGUUGGCGGGGUAAAGGCCCACCAAGGCGACGAUCCGUAGCUGGUCUGAGAGGAUGAUCAGCCACACUGGAACUGAGACACGGUCCAGACUCCUACGGGAGGCAGCAGUGGGGAAUAUUGGACAAUGGGCGCAAGCCUGAUCCAGCCAUACCGCGUGGGUGAAGAAGGCCUUCGGGUUGUAAAGCCCUUUUGUUGGGAAAGAUAAGCAGCAGGUUAAUACCCCGCUGUUCUGACGGUACCCAGAGAAUAAGCACCGGCUAACUUCGUG